rnacentral:rRNA from 1 species
AUGAGUUCGCUCAGCAUGGUGGAGGCGAGGCUGCCGCCGGGGUUCAGGUUCCACCCGCUGGACGACGAGCUCGUGCUCGAUUACCUGUCCAGGAAGCUCGGCGGCGGCGCCGGAGGGGCGGCGGCCGCGGUGGCGAGCAUCUACGGCUGCCCCGCCAUGGUCGACGUCGACCUCAACAAGAUCGAGCCCUGGGACCUCCCCGAAAUUGCAUGCAUUGGUGGCAAGGAGUGGUACUUCUACAGCUUAAGAGACAGGAAGUACGCUACAGGCCAGAGAACAAAUAGAGCAACUGAAUCAGGCUACUGGAAGGCCACAGGGAAAGACCGUGCGAUAAGCCGGAAAGGGUUGCUAGUUGGCAUGAGAAAAACCCUGGUGUUUUAUGAAGGUAGAGCCCCUAAGGGUAAGAAGACUGAGUGGGUCAUGCACGAAUUCCGCAAGGAAGGGCAAGGCGAUCUGAUGAAGUUGCCACUCAAGGAGGACUGGGUCUUGUGUAGGGUUUUCUACAAGACCAGGACAACCAUCGCCAAGGCACCCACAGGGAGCAGCUACAACAUUGACAGUGCAGCCGCAACCUCACUGCCUCCCCUCAUUGACAACAACUACAUUGCCUUUGACCAUCCUGCAAUGUCGACGGUGCAAAACCUAGAGGGUUAUGAGCAAGUGCCCUGCUUCUCCAAUGGCCCCUCCUCUCACCCGUCGUCGUCGGCCUCGAUGAACAUCCCGGUGACGGCGAUGGCGCCCAUGGCCGCUGAUCAGGAGCAGCAGCACAUGGGUAAGGCGAUCAAGGACGCGCUGAGCCAGCUCACCAGGUUUGAGCAAGGCAACGUGAAGAGGGAGGCGCCUGCCCAGGGUGGUGUGUUUGCUCAAGAUGGGUUCGAGUACUUAGCUGAGAGUGGCUUCUCACAGAUGUGGAACUCACUCAAUUGA